GCACGACAGAUGUGCUUAUGGCGGCGGCUGCCGCCGGCAGGAUUCAUUUUCGGCAACUCAAAUCUGGUCAGUUAUCUGUAACUCUAUAAAAAAACGCGGCCGGAGGGGUGAAUGGACCCCACCGUUUUUUAUUAAGAGGAAGAUCUGUAACUCUAUGAAUCAAUAAUAAGAUGCAUAAUCAAAUUUAUGCUGAUAGGACCACGUUUUACCAUAGUAUAGUUGAUUGAUCUACAGUUCUGUAUUUUUGGAUACUAAUUUUACUUCGUUUGAACCUGCUAGUGAUUGGUUGUUUUUUGUGUUAAAUUCACCGUAUUUACUGAUCUGAUUUUAUCUUGUUGUUCAGAGUUUUUGUGCUUAAUCGAGCAAUCAGAUGAUACUAUCGUUUAAGGUGGAGAAAUAAGUCUAUGUGGCUCUCUUCAAUUAAUGUUCCUCUGGCGUGUGGUUAUUGUUUCUUUUGACUGAAAUACAAUUCCAUGCCAUCAGUUUGGAUCAGUUCGCAUAGCCUGCUGAUUAUAAAAAUGUGAGCUUCAAGAAGGAAUAAUGUGAUUGGACUGCGCUUGCAGAUUUUGCAGUGAAUCUGAUAGUAUUAGCUGCGUGAUGGUGGGUACAUUCCACCGCAAUGAUCUUAAACCUGCAGUGACACGGCUUGCAGUACAAGCAUCACCAAAAGGUGCUUCUGCCGGCAUUGGUCAC